CUCAGUAACUCUCUCUCGUUCUAUCUUUCUCUCUUAGCUACUCUCUCGUUCAAUCCUUCUUUCCUUCUCUCUGUUUGUUGCAGGUGUGUAACAAGGUGAUGGGGGCCCGCGGCUUGGGUCGUAUGACAGGGAGGCUCGAUUCGUGGGUCUAUGGCGUGGCUCGCUCGUGGGUGCGGCGGUGCUUGCGGCGGUGGGUCUACGACAUGGCUCGACUGGUCUAUCUUCCAUCAGAUACGAUUUGGGGUUUGUAGAUUCAACUUGUUUCCGUGUCUAUGUGAAAGUCAGAUGUGAAGAGAUGGUGGAGACAACUGACUUAACAUUAAUGUAGUUGCAGGUACUUAUUUCUAAAGCUUAAGAUCUAUCACUAGUAUUUCUGGAUUCAAUGCUAGAUUUGCAUAAACUGUGUUAUUUCCUUUUUUUUCUUCAUUUUUCUUGUUUAUAUUUUUAUCUUGUAGAAGAUGAAAUAUCUUAGGCUAGAAUCAUUUCUGUGAAAUUGGUGAAAGUUCUAGUCUGUUUUAUAUUAAUUAUCUUAAGAUCAUGCCUUUUUAGCGAAUUUGACUGCUUAUAUUGUUGAUUAUAUGGGUUCUAUAUCCAUGGUUUGAAUGUUGAAAUAUUAAAGUUGAGAAAUGUUGAUCUUAGGGUUAUUAUUGGAAAUUUUUAUUCUUUUAUUUAUUUUACUAUUGUUACGAGGUUUUUGAUUUUGAGAUUGGGAGUUGUAGGAUUUUGUAUCUAUAAUUUUUCAUUGAUUCGAUGUUUGAGAGGAUCUAGGGAUAUAGGGCUAGUCGAUGAAAAUAAGAUAAAAAAGAUUUGAACUCCUCUCAUUAAGUAGUUACGGUAUAAUAGUUCUCCAUUUGAAAAUAGA